rnacentral:lncRNA from 1 species
GUCAAAACCUCUGAAUUACUUGUCAAAGAAAAUAAAUAAAAAACAUUUUUUACCCGAAAAAAUGCUGUCCUCUGCUUUCACUAAUAGAAGUUAAUCAAUGGUAUACAAAAUAUGUUUGAACAACAUACGAGAGAAAUUCACUUGGACUCCCGCGUUAGUCACACUAAAAUUGCAGACUAUAUUUGAUGCUCAAUGAAUACAAACGUAGCAUGAUAAAAUAUGAGAUGUAUCACUUGCAUCUCGAUGGAUGAUAUGCAAUACAUCAUUUUAUGCUCUAACCAUUUCUCUACUUUUUCAUUUUUUCAGAAAAGAAAUGUCUUAUCAAAAACAAAAAGAGGAAGAAAAUGACUUUCUUUUCCAUAGCACCUGCCACAUAUAUAAAUUACUUCAUAAAUUUAAUAGAUGAGCUUUGCUAUACGUGACCGUUUAGGCCCAUGACUUGACAGUUUGACGUGGCCAUGCACGGUUGGAUAUGCAAAGAAAAUAUCCUAUUUACUUUGGGAUUAGCAUAGUAUAUAUGGAGUUCUUCAAUGCAGCUUUUUUUGCAUGCAAAGUCCUGUGCAUAAUCACAUCCAUUACGGUCUUAUUUAACGGAUUUAAUUAGCAUACAUGUAAAAUUAGCAUAUGCAUGUUACUCAUGCAAUGACUAUUGUUCUUAAAUUGUUCAUAUUUGAUGCAUGUACUUAGAUGCUAUAUAUGCUAGUUGCAUGAGGCCGACAGCCUUAUAUAUUACCUUGAGGUAUAGAUUCAAUCAUCUUCUUGAUGACAAAUAAAUAUAAAACAUACAUUAACAAUGAAAGACAACAAUGACUCCAAGCCAAUAUCUUUUAAGUUUUUUACAUGUAAUUUUAAUCUUAUAAUAUAUACAUGUGUACA